rnacentral:rRNA from 1 species
GGUUUCACCAGAAGCAGGUAGUCUAACCGUAAGGAGGGCGCUUGCCACGGUGAGGUUCAUGACUGGGGUGAAGUCGUAACAAGGUAGCCGUAUCGGAAGGUGCGGCUGGAUCACCUCCUUU